rnacentral:tRNA from 1 species
GGUCGCUUGGCUCAGCUGGCAGAGCGCUUCGUUCACAUCGAAGAGGUCAGAGGUUCGAAUCCUCUAGCGACCACCA